GCUAAGCCCUGAACAUUGAAAGUCACAAAUACAAUACUUUCCGCCAGAGAACUACAAGUGAAAAACUUAAAACUCAAAGGACUUGACGGUGUCCCAUAUCGACCUAGAGGAGCCUGUCCUAUAAUCGAUACCCCCCGCUCCACCCAACCUCAACUAGCAAAAAUCAGCCUAUAUACCGCCGUCGACAGUUUACCCUAUGAAGGCCCAACAGUAAACACAAUAACCCUAUAACGCUAAUACGUCAGGUCAAGGUGUAGCAAAUGCUGAGGAAGAGAUUGGCUACAUUUUUUAUAAUAAAAAACACGAAUUGCACUAUGAAAUACUGCAUGAAGGUGAAUUUAGUAGUAAAACAGAUAAGAGGUC
rnacentral:rRNA from 1 species